rnacentral:rRNA from 1 species
GCUUGCUGCUUCGCUGACGAGUGGCGGACGGGUGAGUAAUGUCUGGGAAACUGCCUGAUGGAGGGGGAUAACUACUGGAAACGGUAGCUAAUACCGCAUAACGUCGCAAGACCAAAGAGGGGGACCUUCGGGCCUCUUGCCAUCGGAUGUGCCCAGAUGGGAUUAGCUAGUAGGUGGGGUAACGGCUCACCUAGGCGACGAUCCCUAGCUGGUCUGAGAGGAUGACCAGCCACACUGGAACUGAGACACGGUCCAGACUCCUACGGGAGGCAGCAGUGGGGAAUAUUGCACAAUGGGCGCAAGCCUGAUGCAGCCAUGCCGCGUGUAUGAAGAAGGCCUUCGGGUUGUAAAGUACUUUCAGCGGGGAGGAAGGGAGUAAGGUUAAUACCUUUGCUCAUUGACGUUACCCGCAGAAGAAGCACCGGCUAACUCCGUGCCAGCAGCCGCGGUAAUACGGAGGGUGCAAGCGUUAAUCGGAAUUACUGGGCGUAAAGCGCACGCAGGCGGUUUGUUAAGUCAGAUGUGAAAUCCCCGGGCUCAACCUGGGAACUGCAUCUGAUACUGGCAAGCUUGAGUCUCGUAGAGGGGGGUAGAAUUCCUGGGAUAC